rnacentral:tRNA from 1 species
GUCCAGAUGGCGGAAUUGGUAGACGCACUAGGUUCAGGUCCUAGCGGUGGCAACACUGUGGAGGUUCGAGUCCUCUUCUGGACACCA